UUAGAGCUUCCGGCCUGGAGGUAUGUUAACUUCAAUAUUCAGCCUCCUCUUUGAGAUUUGUUGAGCCAUUUUUAUUUGUUAUGAUAAGCAUUGAAGAAAAAUAUUGUAAAAGUUAUAUUUGCACGCUCUUUCCCGGGCUUCUCUGAGUCUCUACCUUUGAAGAAAAAAGCCCCAAAAGUCGUGCUAAAGCCAUGCCGUUUUACGUGUUGCAGUAUAGCCUUUACUUUUCCAACGGCUCUUCUGUGUCAAAUCAGCGGCUACAUCUCGAAUCUAUGUAUUGCGUGGAUUCUUCUGCUUCUUUAGAGAUUGUUGUACCUGAAAUUGUAUAUUGUUGUCUACAGAAGAAAAAAAAAAGUAAUUGUAUUUAAAGUUUGAAAGAAUAGAGCAAUGAAACUCCAAGUGUCGUCUAUUUGAUGAAA